UACGUAGGGUGCAGCGUUGUCCGGAAUUAUUGGGCGUAAAGAGCUCGUAGGCGGUCUGUUGCGUCCGCUGUGAAAACUCGGGGCUUAACCCCGAGCCUGCAGUGGAUACGGGCAGACUAGAGGUAGGUAGGGGAGAAUGGAAUUCCCGGUGUAGCGGUGAAAUGCGCAGAUAUCGGGAGGAACACCGGUGGCGAAGGCGGUUCUCUGGGCCUUACCUGACGCUGAGGAGCGAAAGCGUGGGGAGCGAACAGG
rnacentral:rRNA from 1 species